GCGAAAGCGCACGCAAUUCGUAAAACAUGCGUUAUUCCACGUAAAAUGCAGUGGGCACGGAAACAGCAAUGGCAGCGUUUUGUUAACCGACAAGUUUUUGCAAUGCAGGCGGUUUUAUCACUCGUUCUUGCUUGGCUAUCGUCCGGCCCUGAUCGCCACACCAAGCCAGACCUGUCAUUUCGGAGCUUCGGCUUUGAUUAUGGCUCUUGCACCAACGCGCCGCGCCCUUGCUGUAUGGCGGCAUCUUCUUGAACGCAAUUUCCGUUGUACAGCUCCGGUCAAGCCGCCCAGCACCAGCAUCAGCGUCAUCAGUUGCACGAACGAACUUCUUGAACUGCUGGCGCGCCGACACCCUCUUCAGUGGGCACGGAAACAGCAUUACCAGCGUUGUGCUUAACCGACACGUUUCUGCAAUGCAGCUGCUUCAUGGAGAGCACCGUACCUGCGAACGCCGAUAGUCUAUUGUGGAAUCCAUGGAAAUGACCAAGGGAAUGCAUGCAGCAACCUGAUCUGUCAACGAUGUCACCAAGUGCGUUGCCACCUCGCAUUCUAAAUAUUGCAGCAUUAGAUUAAUCUACGAUUCAUCAC
rnacentral:lncRNA from 1 species